UGCUAAAGAAAUUCCUCCUCAUCUCCUUCAUAAAGGAAGGUUCUUUGAUUCUGAGGCUUUGCCCUCUGGUCCUAGACUCUCCCACAAGUGGAAACAUCCUCUUCACAUCCACUCUAUCCGUACUUUUCACUGUUCGGUGAAGUUUCAAUCAGGUCUUCCCUCAUUCUUUUAAACUCCAGCGAGUACAGGCCCUGUGCUGUCAUACGGUCAUAUGUUAACUUAUUCAUUCCAGGGAUCAUUCUUGUUAACCUCCUCUGGACCCUCUCCAGAGCCAGCACAUCCUUCCUC